CCUACGGGGGACAGCAGUGAGGAAUAUUGGUCAAUGGGCGUAAGCCUGAACCAGCCAAGUCGCGUGAGGGAUGAAGGUUCUAUGGAUCGUAAACCUCUUUUAUAAGGGAAUAAAGUGUGGGACGUGUCCUAUUUUGUAUGUACAUUAGGAAUAAGGAUCGGCUAACUCCGUGCCAGCAGCCGCGGUAAUACGGAGGAUCCGAGCGUUAUCCGGAUUUAUUGGGUUUAAAGGGGGCGUAGGCGGCCUUUUAAGUCAGCGGUGAAAGUCUGUGGCUCAACCAUAGAAUUGCCGUUGAAACUGGGGGGCUUGAGUAUGUUUGAGGCAGGCGGAAUUCGUGGUGUAGCGGUGAAAUGCUUAGAUAUCACGCAGAACCCCGAUUGCGAAGGCAGCCUGCCAAGCCAUGCCUGACGCUGAUGCACGAAAGCGUGGGGAUCAAACAGGAUUAGAUACCCGGGUAGUC
rnacentral:rRNA from 1 species